CCGAUUGAUCUUGUCGGUGGCUUUCCUUUGUCUUGAAGAUUAAGCCAUGCAUGUCUAAGUAUGAACUGGUUUAAGGUGAAACUGCGUACGGCUCAUUACAUCAGCUAUAACUUUCUUUGAUCAUAAAUUCUAAAUGGAAUAACCGAGGAAAAGCCUGGGCUAAUACAUGCGACAAUUCCGGUAGUAAUAUCGGAAUGCUUUUAUUAGAUCAAAACCUUCUAGUUCUUUAACCGGAACUGUUUGUUGGUGACUCUAAAUAACUUUGUGUUGAUCGUAUGACCUUUGUGUCGACGACAUAUCUUUCAAGUGUCUGACUUAUCAACUUUAGACGGUACAUUAUAUGUCUACCGUGGUUGUAACGAGUACAGAGAAUCAGGGUUUGGUUCUGGAGAGGCCGCCUGAGAAACGGCGACCACUUCCAAGGAAGGCAGCAGGCGCGCAAAUUACCCACUCUCAAAACGAGGAGGUAGUGAAGAGAAAUAACGAUGUUAGCCUUAUWAGGCUGACAAUCGGAAUGGGAACACUGUAAACAGGUUAUCGAUUAACAAUUGGAGGGCAAGUCUGGUGCCAGCAGCCGCGGUAASUYCAUCGUGAAAAAUACU
rnacentral:rRNA from 1 species